GCGGCUCCGCCCCACCGGCGCCAGACCCUUCCUGCUCGCCGUAGGCGCUGUCGCUAGCAUGGCGGCCAAGGUGGCAAAGCUGGCAGCUCUUUCUUCAGGUCUGCCAUUUGUGUGUUUUACUGUAUAUGCAGCAAAAGAGAAGGAAUCAAAAAGUCACCUGUUGAAACCAGAUCAGCUACCAAUUUACUGUCCACCACCUCUGAAAUCAAAAUAUAUCGAAGAACAGCCUGGUCACUUGCAGAAGCAAUUCUCUUCAGUAAGACAGACAACCGGCCGCUAUAUUGGAUGGUGCAAGGAUGCUUUUCUCUUUGUUAAAAAUGGAAUCAUGGAUUCAAUUCAAUUUGGAAAAGAUGCUUACGUUUACCUGAAGAAUCCACCACCAGAAUUUCUUCCCAAAGUUGGUAUCAUUACAAUAUCAGGCUUAGCGGGCCUAGCGCUGGCAAGAAAAGGUUCUAGAUGGAAGAAAAUUGUUUAUCCACUGGGACUUACUGCUUCAGGGAUUUCUGUUUGUUACCCAGCUCAGUCAGUGGUAUUUGCUAAGGUAGCAGGGAAAAAGCUGUUUUCUGCAAGCCAUCAAACCUAUGGGGCUUUGCAAUCACUGUGGGCAAAAAAUGAAGAUGUCACCAAGCUGCAGCAAGAGUCAGUGUCAGUUACUCAAGAAGAUAAGAAAAAGAAAGAAAUUUCUGGUACAAAACCUGAGUCUGCUAUUGAGUCGAGUUCAUUUAACAGAACAGAAUCUUCUCCAGUAGAAUCUUGGAGUAAUGAAGAUCCAGUGCCUUCAUCAGGAGCAGUGAAGACAUCAAAAUUUAAGCCUGAUCCAAAACUUAUGGACCAUGGUCAAUCCAGCCCAGAAGAUGUGGAUAUGUACAGUACUAGAAGCUAAGACAAAUAUGCUUACAAAUCUUUGCAGAAUAUUACAGAUAGGGGGAGGGAAAGAAGGGAAGGAAUAUUCCUUAUGAUACAUACUCUGUGAUGUAUAAUUUAAUCAGGUAUUUUCUUAUAUCCCGAUUUGUAUUAUUCACUUACGUGGUUCUGUUUAGUGAAUGUUUUGUUUCUCACUACCUAGAAGCGGUGAGAGUUCACUCCUCGUCAGUGUCAUUAGUGAGACACUGAGAAAGUGACAUUUGUCAGUGUCUUCUCACAAUGAGGUUUCUCUGUGCCAAGCUUGUUAAUAAAUGUCACUUCACAGAGGAUAUUUGAAAAUGUAAACAUAUGUCUAUAGUUCAGCUCAGAUGUUCAUUGAUCUGAAAGAAGAAUGUGAUGGAUGGGGUUUGCAGAAGCUUCUUUGUCUUUUUCUUCUUUCAGCUCUGGAAUGAAGGGCAAGAGAGUAGCCUUAAAAAGUCACUUGUUACAUCAUCCCAAUAGCAUUAUCUUCAAUGCUUGUAUAAACAAGCCACUUUUUUUUCAUUUCAAAGUCUUUUGUUGUCUGCCUCUUUCACAAAGGCGAACGGAAACUGUGUCUUGUCCUGAAUGCUGCUUUUGUAUUUAAUGUUACUGAAGUUUGGAAGAACACACAGCUAAUCUCUAAAACAUCCUUUAUAGACUGCAUUAGUUUUCAUCUACUUCUAAUGCUUCAAAGAACUGUAUGCAUAUUGCUUAAUCUAUGAAGCUGAUACUGUUUGAAUUUAUAUAGAAUGCAUUAGUAGUGUUCAGAGUUGGAAACUAUCUGUAGUUUUGAGACUUAAAGUGCUUGCAAGUAUUAAAAAUGUAGAAGUAAUAGGCAACCAGCUCUUUCUUCCCAGAAGUUUGUAGGCAAUACCCAUCGAUCUUGGUAGGGUUUGUGUAAAAUCCUGUCAUUUUCCAUAAGAAUGAAAUUAGACAUAAAGUUUCCUAGAAUGAAGCUUUCCAACACUGCUUUUAUCAUUGCGUGUAGCACUCUACUGCUGUUCGACCUCCAUUUCUCUUAAAAAAAACCAAAACAGCUCAUAUUAAGGUUGGAACAGAUCUGCUGGCCUUCCUUGAACAAAGUGCAACUCACAGUGAUGAUCACCCUGCUGCCUAGAGGUAAUCUCACCUGUAGCUAGUGUGGUACUUCCCUAAUAUAUAAACUACAAAAGGACAGUGUGCUUGUACUUUGUCCUUCGAUCUGUUGAAUUCUGCUACCUUUCAGUUACUGAAAAUACGUGCUUUGUUGUAACGUUGAGGGGGGAAGCAAGCACAAACUUACACAAAAACAUAGUUUGGUUGGAUGAUAUGAAGGGAUAUUUGCUCAUGUUCUCCGUAAGAAGAGAUUUCACAACCUGAUUCCUUCUUCUGAGGCUGAUAAUGUAGAGGCAAAUGACUAGUGAAAUACGGGCAAGCAGUAUUCCUAGUGUCAUUGAGGGGCUAGCAGAAGUUGUGAGGGGAUGCACAGUGCAUGGUCCACAAGGCACGUAUGAUGAGUGAGCAAAAGAAUAAGUAAGGCUUUUAGGAUGCUUCAGAAACAGGUAAGUAUUGAUAUUUUGGAAUCCAAAUUUCAGGAAACGUGUUGGACUUUGUUACAGAGUCCAAAGUAAGGUGAAGGCAGUAAAAGUGAGGUUUAAAGAAGAAAAAUUCUAUUAGUGAAGCUUGCUUAGGACAAGUGACUUAGAAUUUAAUGUGUUUUGUUUCUUUAAUCAUCUCUUAAGGUCCAGGAAACUCAGAAUUCAGGCAGCAAUCAGAGGAUAUUAAUCUUUACAGAGCUCCUGAACAAGACACAUUUAAUGUUCCAUAACAGAGAGAGGAGCAGAAAAAUUAGAUAUCUGGACUUCAUAUACCAUUUCCAGGGAAAUGGAUGAAGACGUAAGGCAGGAAGUGAAAAUGGGCAAGAAAUUACUACUUACAAGUGCAAGACUGGAUGGCAGAAAUUGUAUUAUCUAGCUACCUUUGAUCAGAUUCUGGAUAAAAAACAUAAUGCAAAAACCAUCUGCUCUACUCCUAGAUUCUAUUUAAAUUCUAACUUAUGUCCUUUGAGUCAACAAGAAAGGAUGCUCACAGCUUGGAAAAAGAAGGCUAUUAUCUGUACUGGAGGAAUGACAGAGGCAGAUAGCAAAUACAUUUAUCUCAGUAUGGCUCCAUGAUAAUCUUGCAGGUAAAGUAAUUUUCCUAUCCAGGGGUCAUAAAUAAUGUAAUACAUGGUGUAAUCUACAGUGUAAUUACUUAAGAAAAAUAGUGUGACUAAAUAAUGUGGCUAUUUUGAUGGCAGAUUAUCCUUAUGAUUCUUGAAUAACUUAGGAAAUAUUGUAAAGAUAUUUUAAUGCAUCUGUGUAAUUAUUGUGACAGUUUGGAGUAUCUCUGAAUACAUUCAAAUACAGAAAGUGUAUUAAAUCUAGAAAGAACGUGGGGCCCAAAAAGCCUGUGCUUUUUAAAAAGGAACAUGAGUAUGCCCAAGAUUGUCAUUUUUAUUUUAAAUUGCAGGGAUUCUAAGAAGCAAAGCUCAGAUACGUGCUGAUGGUAAGCUACUGUCAAGAAAGAUUGUCACUGAACCAUUCUGGAAGUUAUGUUAUUAUUUAUAUUAUCACAGUAUUGAUGUGCUCUUCUUCACUUCAGAGCAAGCAUACAAAUCAAACUGAAAUGCUAAGGAGAAGGAGAUCUAAAAGUUGGGAAAUCUUGUGGUUCCACUUUUUUUUAUUUGAAGAAACUUCUUUGUAUUUUAAAGUCCAAUGGCUGGAUCUAUUAUUUGUGGUGCAAAAAAUGAGUAUGUCUGUACAUAGUAACACAUUGGAGAAGAGAAAGGAGAGGGAAGUGGAAGUUUGAUCACUGACUCAAAAGUGGUGAAAGGGACAUGCAUUUGGAGUUCUGAGUUCACUGCAGAGCACAGUCAGAACACGGUCAAUCAAUGUGCAAUCAGUUCUUUGCCCUUUCGUUUAUGGGCUGUAGGAGAUUGCUUUUACUCAGCCAACCAAAAGAAAUUCUGUGUGUUUCCCUUGCUGUGAUCAGCUAAUAGGUCUAAACUGAGGUUACCAUGGGUAUAAGUGUUGGUAACUUUUUUUGUGCUUGGUUUGUAGCAGUCCUAAUAUCAAUAUUUGAAAAACAUGUAACUUGCUUUCUGUUUGUGCCUCCCUCUGAAGCUCGGCUACACAACGGUAGUAGAAAGCAUUCUCCAAAGCUGCUGAAAUUAGUUAAUGAGGGUAUACUGUGAAAUAGAACAUAAUGGCUGUUUCUGCCUAUUGGCGUUAGUUUUGUUUGUUGUUACCUAAGUAGGCACUAAAACAAGAAACCUACUGCUGGCCUCUGCAGCCCUUCCGUGAGGCCUAGUCCAAACCUGUUGCAUUCAGUAAAAUGCCAACAAUGUCACAAAAAUUUUGGGGUCACAAAAUAGUUUGAGAUUUGUAAUCUGCUUUAUCAAAACGUCGCACCCAAGUCAGAACUGCAAAUGAGAUUUCUGCAUCCCUGUCUUAAUCCAGUGUCAAAGCCCUGGGUAAAGGUGUUUGUUUAUCACACAACCUGAAGUACUGGCACUCAGCAGCUCUGAGCUGGAACCAGAGAGGAAAUUCCCUGUCAGCAAGAAGAACCAAGCGUGUGUGCGAACACAAGUUACAUCUGAUGAAGGAUCGUGCCAUUUCUUUUACUGAGAAUUUCAAGACAGUCCUGAGGUGUUGCUGGGCAAAUUUCGAAACAGCUCAUGAUGCAAACGUCAAACCCAGGAUUGGAAGAAAAUGCUGCAGCAGAGAAUCGGAAAAUUCCAGCCAGCUGCACUGGAGUUGAGGACUUUGGGGCCUGCUUGGGUCAUACAGACAACUUCUGUCCUACCAAUAUUUCUUGCUAAUGUAAAAAUGAAAAACCUUUCUGCAGAUGUGAUUACUACAGAGUGGACUGUCAGGAGUAUUGGUACAUGGGCCCCAAAUGCAAUCACCAUUGGAACACUCUAGAUUUCAUUUUAGUAAUUAUUCUUCCUGCAGUAGCACUGAUUUUUGUAGCUGUUGUAAUAUUUUACUGUGUCUACCACUGUAAAAGUGAAAAAACUGGGUAAAUUACUCUGAUGCAGUUAAAAGGAGUUUUAUAAUCAAAAUGGAAGUAAAGCAAAAAAAAUCUGGUAUUCUGAUUAAUUCUUAAUCUCUGGAUAUUUAAAUCAACAAGUUUUCCAUACAGCAUCCUCUGCCAAAAUACUCAAUUUAAAACAAAAUCAAAGCAUCUUACCAGAGCAUUUAACAGUUGUUCAGCGUUUUACCACUGCAUACAGAACUUCACUUCACUUUAAGUUGUUACUUCUUUUCUUCAGGGCUAACCGGGAAGCUUUAACGUUGAUAAGAUCCAGACAAAUCCAUACUGUGAAGCACACCAGAAUCAUGCAUUUACUCCUGAAAUGGCUGGUAACUUGGGGCACGUUUACCAGCAGUCGCCAAGGACUGCAAGCUGCAGUCCGUGGGACGUUUCUGCCGCAUCUCCUGGCUGGCUGUGGUGGUCAUGAAAACGUGCACUUGUAAAAAGCCCAUUGAUAAUUCUCUGAGCUUUUGCUGUCAUGCCAGUCAGGCACCAUUGUCUGAGAGGGGCAAGAGAGGCAACCAGAAUCUGCAUCUGAAAGCAUCCGCUCCUGGAGAUGAACUACCCUGAACUGCUUCUCUGGAGAGGGUGCCUGGUUUUGAAAAUUACUUCAGGUCAUUCUAUUUUUAAACAAAGCCACCUUUAGCAAAUGAACAUGACUUUUUAGUUUUAUGAACACUAUGGGAUACUUUGUUUCUUCAUGGUGUUUUCCUUCUUUAUCUAGCAAUAUGUUGGUAAGACAGCAGCCAAUCCUGUAAGCUAUAAUAAUUCAUCUUAAUUGUUGAUCACUGUACUUACUUAGUUAAGUUUUGACUCAGGUUUGCAUAAAUCAGAGAGAAAUCCACUGUUGUUUGUGGAGCAGCAUCUUUCUGAAAUGUGUAAUCAUUAAAGACUCAACAAAACUUCCAGGCCUUGCUUAAAACCCUUAAUACCGGGUUUACUUCAUUGUGCAGACACUGGGGUGUAUGUUUCUGUUAUAUCUUAGAGGUAUGUUUUCUGUAUUAUGCAAGCAUGUAAGGCCUUUUCUUCUGCUGAGUCUUUUAGAUAAACUGAAUUUAUACAUUUGAAAACAUCUCUAACAAACAUUAUAUUUUGUAACUGAUAAAUAGGUUUAUACAGUUUUUUUUACACCAAAGAAGACAGCUGCUGACAUACCCAGUGAGCUGUUUCUGUAACUUGCUGACAUUUUGCUCUGUGUAACCACCUGAUCCCCUACAUACAGGAUGUCUGGGUUGAAGGAAUUCCAAAACCUGUACUGAGAAGACAAGAUUUUGAUGAUGUCCCAAGCCUGGAUCAAUUAGACAACUACAGGUGUAUGCUGCUGGUUUUCUGUGCCUUUUUGCUCAUUUUCACUUACACUCUAGUUUGGAGACUUUAGAAUCACUUCGUAGCUUUGCCAGUGGCCACAGCAACUGACAAAGAUCCAGUAAAUAGCAAAGCUUUUGACUGCAUUAUUGAUGUAACUUUUGUGGCUUGAGACUUUGAUAGAAGCUUUUCUGAAUUUUUUCUUUAUUCUCCUGUACCUUGCAUAAUUCCCACAGCGUUGCUGCAAGAAUUCUGGGGCUAUUUUGUACGUCAUUACUAAAUGUGAACUAACGCACAGGACCAGGUUUAUCAACUUGCUGUUUAAGACUUGGUCUGGUUUCCUAAUGUAUCACCAAAAAGAAGAAGUCAAGCCCCAUGCAUCCUCAGCCAUUAAGGAGACCAGAUGCAGCAACAGACUAUUUUUCUAACCAGUGACAUCAAACAGAGAUUUGGCUACCCAAGUGAUAAUUUGCCUUAUGCAGAUUAUGCACAGGGGAGACAGUAUCAGGAUGGUUAUAUCCAUAUCAGGGGGAAAGGGGUUGUGUGCGUUCAUAUUUCUCAGGAAGGCUUGUCAAAGGCAGCUUUUGCCAGCGGCUGACCCGUGUUCGAAGCUGUCCCGCUUUCAGAGUUUCUGAGGGAGGAGCACUUACGAACUGCUGCGACUGUUCAACCGUCGUCAGCCAGAAGCUGUAUUUGUUUGCAAAGUAAUGGCACGUUCCCCGGGCCCCAUUGCAUUCAAUGAAGGGAGUAGCACGGAAAUCCUCCAGGCAAGAACCAGGGGAGACAAGGGACUGGCCUCCACCUUCUGCACCAGCCGCGGUAUGCUGAAAGAAACAUGGUGAUGUAAAUGAGUGUGAAGGAACAGAGUGGGAGAUAAGGAGGACAGUCCUCCAGUUCCAUUGUUAAAAGGAAUAAAACAGGCAACCACAAUAA